rnacentral:rRNA from 1 species
UACGUAGGGUGCAAGCGUUAAUCGGAAUUACUGGGCGUAAAGCGUGCGCAGGCGGUUAUGCAAGACAGAGGUGAAAUCCCCGGGCUCAACCUGGGAACUGCCUUUGUGACUGCAUAGCUAGAGUACGGCAGAGGGGGGUGGAAUUCCACGUGUAGCAGUGAAAUGCGUAGAUAUGUGGAGGAACACCAAUGGCGAAGGCAGCCCCCUGGGCCGAUACUGACGCUCAUGCACGAAAGCGUGGGGAGCAAACAGGAUUAGAAACCCGGGUAGU